GUCUGAAAGUUUUCAGAGAUGAGACAUUUGCGUUUCUCAGCUCCCAUGGCUUCUCGCCUGAAACUGUUUCCCUCCGUAGGAGAUUUGAGUAACCGAUCCCUUGACAAACAACUUAAGACAGCUGGAGCUCUAAUCAUCAAGAAUUUUUAUGGUGCUGCUUUUGAAGUAAAAAUAAAGUGAAACCCCUUAUGGCAUUUCAAGUGGAAAAAUAAAUAAGGUUGGCCGUCCACGUAGGGGGCUCCGGGCGAUGGCUGGAAGUGCGGGAGUGGCGUGGUUCUGUGCCGUCAAUGUGCACGUGCUCCCAUGGCCGUGACCUUUGAGACAAAGCUGGGUGGCUUGCCAGGGCCCUGUGCUGGGUGUCCACCUCUCCAUCUCUUCUCCUUCUAGAAAACAUAACAGGAACACUGCCUGUCCAAGGCACAGGGCUGUUGUCAGAGUUUAUUGUUGUAAAAGGGCUUGGGUUGUUUCAUAAAAGGUCAUCUGUUAUACCUAGAUUGGUAAUUUAUUGCUAUGAAGUUUUGUGUAGUUUUCUCCUGCCCUUUGCAAUCUCCGCAUCGUCAGUGUAUCCCUUUUUUCAUUCCCACCAUCGCCUAUCAGUGCUUUUCCUUUUCUUCGUCAAAACUUGCCAAAGGUUUGUUCAUUUUGAAGGUGUUUUCAGAGAACCAAGCUUACUGAUUAUGUCUGCUGGGUAUUUUCCCUAUCUGAUGCUUUUGUGUUUUUACCUCUGCAUUCUUUUGUUUCCUGCGUUUCUGGAUGUAUUUUGUGGUUCAGCAAAGUCUUGACAAGUUGAGGAGUGUUACACGUGGAAAGGAUGGUUUGUUCAGCAAACAUUGAGCCCCUGUACUGGGCUUGCUGGGGAUUUCAGGGGCAAGACCCAGGCCUGACUCUCCAGGAGCGCAUGACUCUAGCCUAGUGGGAAGACUUAAGAAAAUAGACAACUGCAAAUUCCAAAAACAAAACAAACAAACAAGGCUUUUGUGGCCACACUCUCCUGUGGAGGCACCUGGAUGAUAAAUGAAGCCAAGAUUAUUGCUUACUUUGCUCUCCCUCAGAAAGCAGCUUUCUGUCAUAGGUCAAGCUCACUAAAGAGUCACAAACAGGCCUCCCUGUGAAAGAUUUGUGGCCCUUUGCAGCAGGGAGCCUGCAGCCCACCCUUUCCAAGGUGAUGCCACAUCAGCGUUCUGUCUGCCCAGCACUGCUCUCCACCUGCCAAGGCAGCACCAGCAGCACCCUGCCCCCUCUGCCUGAAAUGCCUUUCAGGAAAAUGAGAAGUGGAUACCUCUUCUGGAAAAGAGCAGGGUACCAGGUCUUAGAAAACCACACCCUGCAAUUCUGCCAGUCGCCGCGGCUCCUAGUGUUGCUCGUGUGGUACCUGGUAACCACAAGAUCCCAUGAGGCCUAGGUCUGGGCUUCUUUAGGAACUGGUCUGUGCCCUGCUCUGUGCCUCAGUUUCCUUGUAGGUAAGAUGUGGGCUUUGGAGCAAACACAGUCUUCCUACCCCUAAUAUACUGGGAAUCCUUUCUCCGAGGAUCUUCGGGUCCUCCUGGAUGCAUUUGAGGGAAGGUGAUUGAGCUCUGGGAAGGUGGCACUGCCCUUGCAGGGCAGCCUGCAUAUGCCUUAUGCUUUAAUGAUUGUACCACAUGCGCCUAGAUAUGCCUCUGUCAGGAAGCCUUCCUGGACUCUUCCCUCUCCCUAGAGAUCCAGUUGCCUAGAUGACUUCACCCAGCCCUCUGUUGAGUGCUAGUGGUCAUGCAGACUUUCUCUUUCGCAGUGAUUGGGCUCCCCUGACCUCCCUAGGGGGCUUGCAUUGUUAUUUAAUCUGAGGUACUUGUCAGAAUCCUGUACAGGACCAGGCCUUGGGGUCACACAGUGGACAGGGUGGACCAUCUCUGCCAUCAGGGAGUCAUCCAAGCUAAUGGGAAAGGGGAUGACCUUGGGCAGAAAAUCCCACAGAUAGAUAUAAUAUGGACUGUGGCAGGUGCCCUAAGAGCAGUCUAGGGGGCACCUGGUGUGGGCUGGGGAGGAUUGAUGUUCAGGCUGAGACCUGAGGACAAGUGUAAAUGUUGGAGCAGUGAAAUAACAAAUGAGAUGUUAUUUCUCACCAUCUAAUCAAGCAUCUCUGCUUACAGCUGAAGAGACUGGGCUGAAAGCAAAAUGAAGGACCACCAGUAUCUGGCUGCCCUGGAGGGCUGUAUUGGGAGAUAGUAAGGGGGGUUGAAGGUUGACGUGUUGGUGGCGGUCCCCCAAACCCAGUCCUGAGUGAGAAGUCUUCAGUUUCCAACUGACUGGAACCAUCACAGACAAGGAUCUGAUGGGAGUAGGGGGUGACCCAAUCAGAACAGCAUUUAAUUUAAGGUGGGAUUUUUUUCAGUAGGGAACAGGAUAGCAUUUGAGCAGUAACAGCAGCAGGACUGUCAAGAAGGUCACUGCCCUGUCUAGAUCAUUGGGAAUGGGGAGGAGUAGAUCCAAGGAGCCAUGGUGGGUGAGGAGGGGAAGGCAGGAGAAAGAGCGGGCUGGGGAGGGAGGACAGAGAAAGAUGAGAGACUCCCAUUGAAUAGCUGCAGGAAGUGAGGUCAGGGAGGGGGCAUCCCUUGUGUUCAGUUGGCUGCGGGAGCCAGAACCCAGUCUCCUGGCGUCUAUUGCAAAGCUCACCCCUCAUCCCCCAGCCCCCUAAAGGGAGAAAGGGUCACUGCUCUGAAAAGAGGGAGGAACUAAGCAGUGCUGUCCUCAGCAAGCCAGGGAAGGUGAUCCUGACUAAAAGCCAGAAGAGGGGCAGAGUUUGGUCUGCCAGGCUUCAGGGAGAGAAUUCCAUAUCGCGAGAAAAACUUUGAUUAGAGCGGGCUCAAGAUGAAGGGGAGGAGCUGGCCGAGCAGCAGCUGGAGGCUUCAGACAGAAGCCCUGGGUCUCUCUCUCCGGCUCAGUGGGCGGGGACUUGGGGGACACUUUAGGACCGACAAACCUUGAGCGACAAGGUUUCAGGGAGCCCGGGCCCUAUGCCCCCACCUCUUUGACCACACGUCCCUGAGCCUCAGUUUCCUCACUGGCAAAAUAGAGAUGGUAACACCCCCUGUAGCCUGGCUCAAGGCCAAGUCUUCACAAAUGUUACUGCCUCUCUUCUGUGCCCUACCACCCUCCACCGACCCUUACUGGGCUCAGGCUUCAUAGGGAUGUGGUAUGAUCGUCCAGCUCUCCCGCUCAUUCAUUCCUGCAGGGAGCAUUGCCAGGCCCUGCGCCCAGCCCAGAACCUGAUAAGACCAUGCCCUCCGUGAGGAGCUCCUGCGGCAGCAGCGGGGAGGGCAUCGAGGCAGUCCUGCAGGCGCAUGAUCACUGUGCUGUGUCAUUGGGGCUGUGUGGAGUUAGGGAGAGACCUCAUUUGCGAGGCCGGAUGUCAGCACCUCAACAUGAAUUCCCUUAAUUAUUUUUUACAAGCCCCGAAAUGACAAGAUCCUAAAAGGGAGAGGAACACCUAGACGGUGCUCUUUCCUGAGAGGCCAGAACCCUGGCUUUGCAUCCCUGCUUGGCCACCAGCUCGCCUAGGACCGUCCAUGGAUUUUUCCCUCUUGGAAAGAAAUCACUGCCCAUUCGGCCUCCUCCUCAUGAGGAACUGGUGCAGGGAUGUUUGAGAGUGCCCUGUCAGAUACGGGGUAAGCACGAACCUUCUCCACAGACUAACCCUUUGAGCGGUUCUGGCCUCUCACCUCUUUUCCUGGACAACCUGUGGAGAGUCUACAGGGGGACGCCUCACUGCUUCUUCCGAAGCUAAACUCUGCCGAUCCCUGCCCCACACUGCUAGUGGCCGCCCUCUAGGGCAGGGCGGGGAGCUGAGCCCUGGGCCUGACCCCCACCCCCUUGCCACGUGACCUUGCUCUCCUCUGCUCAUUCUUCUCCAGGCACCGCCCCCCAACGCCCAUCUGUUCACCUAGGAGGGGUUGGCCCAGGAAGUCUUUAACGUUUCGAAAGCCAUCUUCUGUGAAAUAUCAGUGAACUUUAUCCUUGUUACUUCAGUCUUAAAGCUCUAGCAUCACCCUCAGAUGCCCUGGUACCCAGAACAGUAAUUGGACAAGGGGCAUGGUGACCCCAGGAUCUGGGUCAGUCCACAUCUUGGAGCAUGGCGGAACCGAUGGCUGCAGCCCCCUGGAAGCUGAACGUGGCAGGAACUGGCUGAGAGAUUUUUUUGCUGAUGGUGAAAUGUCCUGGCAGAGUCUAUGCAGCAACAGAGCAUCACCCUACAUCACAGAGGAGGGAACAGAAACUGGAGAAGCAAGUGCCUUUCUGACAUAGAGCACAAGUAGCAGGAGCUGGAUUCAACCUCAGUCCAUCCAGGAUCACAGUCCUUCUUCCCAGGACCAGGUUGAGCUGAGAGGAAGAAGAAGAGGGGUCUGUGAGGUCCAGGUGGAGACGCUCCGCAGGCACGUGCGGAAGGUUGGAGACGUGAUGUGUACAAGCUGGAGGUGUUGCUCUCAGCUUAGUGCGCCCUGUGGGACUCCUGGUGUAGCCGACGUGCUCUGCCGCAGUGUUCCUUGCAGCUGGCGACUGGCGGCCUUAGGAUUACACCAUGUUUGAUUUUCUUGUUUCCUAUUGAUUGACUAUUAAAAUGUUUCCAGUGUCGUUCCAUUAAGACAAACCUGUAAGAGCAUCUUAUAAUUGUUCAUUUUGCACAUGUACAAGUAUUUCUCUGGGAUAGAUACUUAGAAAUGGAACUGAUGGGUCAUAAGGUAUUCAUAUCUUAAAUUCUAAUAGAAAUUUCUGAAGUGUUCUCCAAAUUGCCUUCUAAUGUAAUCUCCUGCUAGCAGCGUGUGUGUGUCCAUUUCCCCAGACCACGUCCAAGUUUUCCAUUUUUAACCAGUUUGAUGAGUGAGAAAUAGUAUCUUGCUUUAGUUGGCAUUUUUCUGAAUUACCUGCAAGACUGAAGUCUUCAUGUGUUUACUGUCCAUUUUCAUUUCCUCCUCUGGAUUGCUUGUGCAUAUCCUUUGCCUGUUUCUUUUUUUUUUUUUAAGGUUUUUUUUGUCUUUUUGCUAUUGAUUUUUAAGAGUUUUUUAUUUGAAUAUUAAUACUUUGUCAUGUAUAUUGCAGAUGUUUUCUACAUUGAGAUUUGUGUCAUUUAAUUGUGUAGUAUCUUUUUGUCUUAGAGAAAUUUUAACUUUGAUACGAUCAAAUUUGUCAAUCUUACUUUUAGGCCAUUUUUACAGUCUUAUUUAAGAAAGUAUUCCCUGUAUCAAGGUCAUAAGUAUUUACUGUAUUUCCUUCUCUAAAAUUUAUAGUUUCUGUAUACAUACAUAUUUAAGCCUUUAUACUAUAUACAAAAAAUAAAUUCCAUAUGUACAAAUCUUAGGAUCUAACUUUAAUUCCUCCCCAUUCCCCCCAAAUGGACAGGUAAUUGUCCCAACACCAUUUAUGGAAUAAUAUAUCAUUUCUCCGCUGAUUUAGAACUGCCUCCUCUGCCUGACACUGAAUUCCAAUGCGGGUCUGUGUCAGAGCUCUUUCUGGUCCACUGAUCUAUUUGUCUACUCCUGAGCUUGCUAAUAUGCUUUGCUAACUGGCAGGACAAAUCCCACCCUCUCUGUUGUUUUUGUAAAAUUGCCUUGAUCAUCCUUGCAUAUUUGUCGCACCACAUGAAUUUUAAAAUAGCCUGUCGAGUCUCAGGAAAAAUUCUGCUGGGAUUUUAAUUGGGAUCACAUUGAGUUUUAGGUAAGUUUGAAGAAAAUUGGCACCUUUAUCAUAUUUGAGUCUUCUGCCAGUGCUCGUUGCUAUUAUCUCUCAGUUCCGGUCACUCUCAUGUCUUUCAGGGAAGUUUUAUGGUUUUCUCUAAAGUCUUGCAUAUUUCUUGAUAAAUUUAUUCCUAGGUUUAUUACAGGUUUUGUUGUCAACUGUGAAUAGGGUCUCCUCUCCCUUUAUUUGUUUGGCCCUUGUUUUUCCAUAUUUCAUUUCAACCUGUUUACCGAUCAGUGGACUUGACUUGCAGACACACACGCAAAGUGAACAUUCUUCCUCCGGGGGCACAAAUAUGCAAGCACCACCAAACACAGAGAGCCGGCGUAAUUGGCUGGAAACAAAUUAGAGUAUUUUCAGAUUAUACUUUAAUUAACAAAGUAAAGCAUGAAUACAUUUUCCUUUUGAAAGUCGGACAAUAUGAAUGUAACUAAAGUUUCCUUUGGCCACCCUCUGAAAUCCUAGUUUCCCUCCCUCACCCGCAGUUUUAUGUGUCUCCUUCCAUAGAAAUGUAAGUAUCAAUGGAGGUAUUUUGAAUGAAUCAUCCCACUCUAUAGAGAUUUUACUGUAAGCUGUGUUUUUUCACUCCAUCUUAUAUUUCUAAGAUAUACUGAUACAAAUAGCUCUUGCCAGUUCCUUUUAGUAGCUGUGUUAUAUUCAUUCCCAUGAAUGUGCUACAUUUUUCCUUCCUAAGAUCCAUGGACAUUUAGUUGCAUCCUUUUCUUUCCUCCAUCAUAAGCAGUGCCACAGAAAAUAGCCUUACACGUGCCUCUUCUGUAAUGUUUCUCUAGGAUGGUGAUUGAGAAGUGGAAUUUGUGUUCUCAGGGUUUCCACAUUUUUAGUUUUAGAUGUUACCAAAGUGUCCUCCAUAAUUUCUGUACCAUUUAAACUUCUAGCCAGAGGAUAUGGGAGGACUCCUCACACCAUAAGUGAUUGUUUUAAAUGUUUGCCAAUUUGCUGGGUGAAAAAUUGAAUAAUUUUUUAAAGUUUAUACAUACCUGUUUGCUAGUGAGAUUUUCAUAUGUGUUUUAGGCAUUUGUAUUUUCUCUUUUCUGAAUGAUCUGUUUAUUUUUGCUCAUUUAAAAAAUUAGGUUGUUUGUCUUUAUCUUAUUGAUUUUUGAGUUUCCUAGUGUAAUCUGGAUAUUAAUCUUUUGUGUGUGUGUGUGUGUGUGUGUGUAUAUGUAUAUAUAUAUAUGGCACAUGUUUUCUUCCAGCUUGUCUGUUGCCUUCAAAUUUUGUAGGGGCUUUUGUUAGACAGAAGUUAUCAAUUUUGACAUAAUCAAAUUUAUCCAUCUUUUCCUUUAUUCCUUGUAUUUAUAUAUCAUGUUUAGGCCUUUCUUACUCCUAAGGUUUAAGUAUACUCUGUAUUCCUUUCUAGUAAUUUUGUUUUUAUUUGGGUCUUUUUUUUUGUCGGGGGGUAUGUGGGCCCCUCACUGUUGUGGCCUCUCCCGUUGCGGAGCACAGGCUCCGGACACGCAGGCUCAGCGGCCAUGGCUCACGGGCCCAGGCGCUCCGUGGCAUGUGGGAUCUUCCUGGGCCGGGGCAUGAACCCGUGUCCCCUGCAUCGGCAGGCGGACUCUCAACCACUGCGCCACCAGGGAAGCCCUAUUUGGGUCUUUAAUGCAGCUGGAAUGUAUGUUUAUGAUUGAAAUGAGAUAUGAUCUAAUCUUUCUGCAAACAUACAGCUGAUUAUUGCAACAUGACGGACUGUCUAGUUCCUUCUCUCUCCACUGAUCUGAAGUGAA